rnacentral:rRNA from 1 species
GACGUAGGAUGCAAGUGUUAUCCGGAAUCACUGGGCGUAAAGCGUCUGUAGGCGGUUUAAUAAGUCAACUGUUAAAUCUUGAGGCUCAACCUCAAAAUCGCAGUCGAAACUAUUAGGCUAGAGUAUAGUAGGGGUAAAGGGAAUUUCCAGUGGAGCGGUGAAAUGCGUAGAGAUUGGAAAGAACACCGAUGGCGAAGGCACUUUACUGGGCUAUUACUAACACUCAGAGACGAAAGCUGGGGUAGCAAAUGGG